rnacentral:rRNA from 1 species
UGGGGAAUAUUGGACAAUGGGGGCAACCCUGAUCCAGCAAUACCGCGUGUGUGAAGAAGGCCUGAGGGUUGUAAAGCACUUUCAGUGGGGAGGAGGGAUGCUAGGUUAAGAGCUAAGUAUCUGGACGUUACCUACAGAAGAAGCACCGGCUAACUCCGUGCCAGCAGCCGCGGUAAUACGGAGGGUGCAAGCGUUAAUCGGAAUUACUGGGCGUAAAGGGUUCGUAGGUGGUUUAUUAAGUUAACUGUGAAAUCCCUGGGCUUAACCUGGGGCGGUCAGUUAAGACUGAUAGACUUGAGUAUAGGAGAGGGUAGUGGAAUUUCCGGUGUAGCGGUGAAAUGCGUAGAGAUCGGAAGGAACACCAGUGGCGAAGGCGGCUACCUGGCCUGAUACUGACACUGAGGAACGAAAGCGUGGGGAGCAAACA